CCUACGGGAGGCAGCAGUAGGGAAUCUUGCACAAUGGGCGCAAGCCUGAUGGAGCAACACCGCGUGAGUGAAGAAGGGUUUCGGCUCGUAAAGCUCUGUUGUUGGAGAAGAACGUGCGUGAGAGUAACUGUUCACGCAGUGACGGUAUCCAACCAGGAAGUCACGGCUAACUACGUGCCAGCAGCCGCGGUAAUACGUAGGUGGCAAGCGUUAUCCGGAUUUACUGGGCGUAAAGCGAGCGCAGGCGGGUGCUUAGGUCUGAUGUGAAAGCCCUGGGCUUAACCGAGGAAGUGCAUCGGAAACCGGGAGACUGGAGUGCAGGAGAGGAUAGUGGAAUUCCAGGUGUAGCGGUGGAAUGCGUAGAUAUGUGGAGGAACACCAGUGGCGAAGGCGGCUGUCUGGUCUGCAACUGACGCUGAGGCUCGAAAGCGUGGGUAGCGAACAGGAUUAGAUACCCUUGUAGUC
rnacentral:rRNA from 1 species